rnacentral:rRNA from 1 species
AGGAGAAGCACCUUUCGGGGUGUGGACACUGGCGCACGGGUGAGUAACGCGUGGGAAUCUACCCCGGGGUGGGGGAUAACCGCUGGAAACGGCGGCUAAUACCGCAUACGCCUUAAGAGGGAAAGCUUUAGCGCCCUGGGAUGAGCCCGCGUUAGAUUAGGUUGUUGGUGGGGUAAUGGCCUACCAAGCCUACGAUCUAUAGCUGGUCUGAGAGGAUGAUCAGCCACACUGGGACUGAGACACGGCCCAGACUCCUACGGGAGGCAGCAGUGGGGAAUAUUGGACAAUGGGGGCAACCCUGAUCCAGCCAUGCCGCGUGCGUGAAGAAGGCCUUAGGGUUGUAAAGCGCUUUCACUGGUGAAGAUGAUGACGGUAGCCAGAGAAGAAGCCCCGGCUAACUCCGUGCCAGCAGCCGCGGUAAUACGGAGGGGGCAAGCGUUGUUCGGAAUUACUGGGCGUAAAGGGCGCGUAGGCGGAACGUCAAGUUAGGGGUGAAAGGCCUGGGCUCAACCUAGGAACGGCCUCUAAAACUGACGAUCUAGAGUCCGGAAGAGGAUGGCGGAAUUCCCAGUGUAGAGGUGAAAUUCGUAGAUAUUGGGAA